AUACGGAGGGUGCAAGCGUUACUCGGAAUCACUGGGCGUAAAGCGGGUGUAGGCGGUCUAGCAAGUCAGAUGUGAAAGCCCACGGCUCAACCGUGGAAGUGCAUCUGAAACUGCUAGACUUGAGUGCCGGAGAGGGAAGUGGAAUUCCUGGUGUAGGGGUGAAAUCCGUAGAUAUCAGGAGGAACACCGGUGGCGAAGGCGACUUCCUGGACGGCCACUGACGCUGAGACCCGAAAGCGUGGGGAGCAAACAGGAUUAGAAACCCUAGUAGUCC
rnacentral:rRNA from 1 species